GUACUUCUAUCAUCUGAAGUAGGAUGGUCAGGGGGAUAACUUUUUCCCUUUCAAAACUUAUUCUGAUUGAGGCCAGGAAUGUAGCUCAGUGCCACAGCACCUGCCAGUGCCCUGGUCACAGGUAAAACAGGGAAGCCAAGGCUAAGAGGUUAGCAGAAACACAGCGAAUCAGGCUGCUGUCAAGACUGCUACAACCCAUAGGCCCGACUGAGG
rnacentral:lncRNA from 1 species